UACAGAGACUGCAAGCGUUAUUCGGAUUCACUGGGCGUAAAGGGUGCGCAGGCGGUUGGGUGUGUCAGAUGUGAAAUCCCGAGGCUCAACCUCGGAACUGCGUCUGAAACUACUCGACUAGAGUACUGGAGAGGGAAACGGAAUUCACGGUGUAGCAGUGAAAUGCGUAGAUAUCGUGAGGAACACCAGAGGCGAAGGCGGUUUCCUGGACAGUUACUGACGCUCAGGCACGAAAGCAUGGGGAGCAAACAGG
rnacentral:rRNA from 1 species